UACGUAGGGAGCAAGCGUUGUCCGGAAUCAUUGGGCGUAAAGCGCGCGUAGGCGGCCCGAUAAGUCCGCUGUGAAAGUCAACGGCUCAACUGUUGGAUGCCGGUGGAUACUGUCGGGCUAGAGUACGGAAGAGGCAAGUGGAAUUCCUGGUGUAGCGGUGGAAUGCGCAGAUAUCAGGAGGAACACCUAUAGCGAAGGCAGCUUGCUGGGACGUUACUGACGCUAAGGCGCGAAAGCGUGGGGAGCGAACAGGA
rnacentral:rRNA from 1 species